AAGCUCGUAGUUGAAUUUCGGGAUUAAUUUAUUGGUCGUGCAAUAGUGCGUACUGGUAUUACUGAUUCCUACCUUCUGACGAACCAUGAUGUCAUUAAUUUGGUGUCAUGGGGAAUCAGGACUGUUACUUUGAAAAAAUUAGAGUGUUUAAAGCAGGCUCACGCUUGAAUACAUUAGCAUGGAAUAACGAAAUAGGACGUUUGAUUCUAUUUUGUUGGUUUCUAGGAUCGACGUAAUGAUUAAUAGGGAUAGUUGGG
rnacentral:rRNA from 1 species